GGCCAUAUUGUUAAGAGGAUAAAUAUUCGAAUUAAGCAAACUGGCGACAACUUAUACUUUGGCAUUAUGACUUGUGACGAUAGGAAAGUUUUCAUGUUUGCAAGGCUAAAUCAAGUGCCGAAGAAGGGAGAAGUGCAAGAGGCAGCCGCCAGGUUGGGCUACCGCGGUCGAGGCGGCAAGUCAUACUUGUAUCAAGGCCACCAGUGGAUGCCAAUACCGGAAGCCGAAGACUGGGAAUUUGAAGAUUCUUUAAAAUAUAUCAAUAAAUAAUAAUCUACAAUA